rnacentral:rRNA from 1 species
GCAUAAUCAUUAGUUUUUUAAUUGAAAGCUGGAAUGAAAGGUUGGACGAGAGAAUGACUGUCUCAGUCUAAUUUAUAUUAGAAUUUUAUUUUUAAGUAAAAAAGCUUAAAUAGUUUUAAAAGACGAGAAGACCCUAUAGAAUUUUAUACUUAUUUAGUUAAGGAUUUUUAAGUUAAUUUUUAUUUUUAUUUAGAAAUGUAUUUUGUUGGGGGGAUAGAAAAAUUUAAUGAACUUUUUUUAUGGGGGGAUCAUUAAUGUAUGAGUAAUUGAUCCAUAUUUUAUGAUUAAAAGAUUAAAUUACCUUAGGGAUAACAGCGUAAUUUUU